UACGUAGGGCGCAAGCGUUGUCCGGAAUUAUUGGGCGUAAAGAGCUCGUAGGUGGCUGGUCGCGUCUGCCGUGAAAGCCCCGCAGCUUAACUGCGGGUCUGCGGUGGAUACGGGCCGGCUAGAGGUAGGUAGGGGCAAGUGGAAUUCCUGGUGUAGCGGUGAAAUGCGCAGAUAUCAGGAGGAACACCGGUGGCGAAGGCGGCAUCCUGGACCGACAUUGACGCUGAUGAGCGAAAGCGUGGGGAGCGAACAGG
rnacentral:rRNA from 1 species